rnacentral:tRNA from 1 species
GUGGGUAUAGCUCAGUGGUAGAGUGCCUGCUUAGCAUGCAUGAGGGCCUGGGUUCAAUCCCCAGUACCUCCA